GGGCUUUGGGCAACCUGGUCUGGUGGGAGGUGUCCCUGCCCAUGGCAGGGGACUGGAGCUGGGUGGGCUUUGAGGUCUCUUCCAACCCAAACCAUUCUGUGAUUCUGUGAUUCUAUGAUUCUUUUAGCAGAACAAAAAAUUGUGAUAAGGGAAGUUUGACUUAGUCUACCACUCACUAGACCAAUAAAGUCAGCAUCUGUGUACCCUUGAGGUACUAUUGUACUUCUCAAGAGCUUUUGUCCUUCUGUCUGCAGAAUUAACCAUGGUUGUACUCUUUGGACAAGUCACCUUCCAGGAUACAAUCAGCUGUUGUGGUAUGAACAAAUCCCACACCGUGAGAGUUAACCCCUCUGAGGAGACCAACUGGAAAGCAGAACCUUUCUCAUGCUACUCUUUCUGUUCAGGAAAGCAGGAUUUUAUCUCCUAUGUAGCACAAAGGAAUACCAGGGAAGGGCUCUGCCACUUUUUUCUCCUAGCAGAUGCAAUAAAAUAAAUGAGUUAAUAAGUUUAAAAAUAUUUAUAGUUAUUCCAUGUGGUUUCUUCAAGUUCCUUCAGUACUGCACAUUAGUAUCAACACAGAUCACAGGUCUUGCUUUCUUGUUGGGAAUAUAUUGUGCAGCUCCUCUCCAAGGAUCUUGUCCUUCUCUUCAGUAAGCUGCCCUGGAAAUAUAGACCAUCCUGCACUACUAAGUUCCAUUUUGGGAGUCUCUGUUGUUUUGCAGGUGAAGUUCAACCCAUAACCUUUCCAGAUAAGAGAAGAAAGCAUGCCUUUAUUCAUACAAAUAUAAGAAUGUGUCAAUAAUUUACAUACAGAUACUUUGCAUGCAUAAUUAUGUGCCUGUGUCAUCACUUGUGCAUUUUGAUGUUGGCUAUUCAACACCUUGUUAACCAUCCAAAUCCAUGCAUCUUUGCACUGUGCCGUUAUUUUUAAGCUCAGCCUAGUUGGAAUCCUAUAAAUAUGAUUGUUAAAAAUUGUAUUAAAAUAAAUUCUGCACUCUAAAGUACAAUGCAGUCGACUCUGGGAUGAAACACUUGGCUCUGUGGAGAUAAUUCUAAAAAUCCUGUCUGAAUUAAACUGAAGAUAAAGAUAUAUCAGUAAAUUGAAUGCAACAUCUGAACAUGAAUCUCUGACAAGAAAAUUUAUGCAAUUUUAUGAAGUUUGCUAUGUAA